GCAUCGGUGGUUUAGUGGUAAAAUUAGCCGUUGCCAUCCAUUAUAGGACAGUUUCGGCUAGCCCCGGGUUCGAUUCCCGGCCGAUGCA
rnacentral:tRNA from 1 species